rnacentral:rRNA from 1 species
GACGAACGCUGGCGGCGUGCUUAACACAUGCAAGUCGAACGGAAAGGCCCUGCUUUUGUGGGGUGCUCGAGUGGCGAACGGGUGAGUAACACGUGAGUAACCUGCCCUUGACUUUGGGAUAACUUCAGGAAACUGGGGCUAAUACCGGAUAGGAGCUCCUGCUGCAUGGUGGGGGUUGGAAAGUUUCGGCGGUUGGGGAUGGACUCGCGGCUUAUCAGCUUGUUGGUGGGGUAGUGGCUUACCAAGGCUUUGACGGGUAGCCGGCCUGAGAGGGUGACCGGCCACAUUGGGACUGAGAUACGGCCCAGACGCCUACGGGAGGCAGCAGUGGGGAAUAUUGCACAAUGGGCGGAAGCCUGAUGCAGCAACGUCGCGUGCGGGAUGACGGCCUUCGGGUUGUAAACCGCUUUCGCCUGUGACGAAGCGUGAGUGACGGUAAUGGGUAAAGAAGCACCGGCUAACUACGU